rnacentral:other from 1 species
GUUUACUGCCGCGUAGGCAGCUCAGAAA